AAUCAACGCUGGCGGCGUGCCUAACACAUGCAAGUCGAACGAGAAGGUGGAGCAAUCCAUGAGUACAGUGGCGACCGGGUGAGUAACACGUGACUAACCUACCCUCGAGUGGGGGAUAACUCCGGGAAACCGGGGCUAAUACCGCAUAACAUCGCUUGGUGAAAUUCCUUGUGAUCAAAGGAGCAAUUCGUUUGAGGAGGGAGUCGCGUCUGAUUAGCUAGUUGGUGAGGUAACGGCCCACCAAGGCGAUGAUCAGUAGCCGGCCUGAGAGGGCGCACGGCCACACUGGAACUGAAACACGGUCCAGACUCCUACGGGAGGCAGCAGUGGGGAAUUUUGCGCAAUGGGGGAAACCCUGACGCAGCAACGCCGCGUGGAGGAUGAAGUCUUUUGGGAUGUAAACUCCUUUCGACCGGGAAGAUUAUGACGGUACCGGAGGAAGAAGCACCGGCUAACUCUGUGCCAGCAGCCGCAGUAAAAC
rnacentral:rRNA from 1 species